CUGUCAGCGCCGGGCCGGGCCGGGCCGGGGCUGAGCCGCCUGCCAACGCCAGCCUCAUCGGUUUGCAGGCCAGAAGCAAAGGCCGCACAAAAUCCAUACACCGUGCUGAGUAACGGGAGACCUCACCGGGAGCACUGCGCCCACACGGGGGGUCCUGUUGGAGCAGCUGCUCACUGCUCACACGCGACUUGCACAGGAGAUACAGCCGGGGGGAUGUCAGAGCAGAUGAAGCUUCCCUGUGUGUUGCAGCAGAUGGGGAUCUUCUUUUAAUCAGCUGUUGCACAGUGCCAGCUUGCACACCUGACAGCUGCAGGGUCCUCUGCGUGCUGCUCUGGCAGGGCUCUCUGGAAUGGGCUUGUCUGAAAUGGUGGAAGCAAAAGGGUUUGGCCGUGUUUUGUGUGGGGAAAAAAAAAGGAAGGGGGAAGGGGAGGGAGAAGAAAAGCGGAGGGAAUGGAGAAGGGAAGGGAGAAAGGAAAGGAAAGGAGGGAGAAAGGAAAGGAGGGGAGAAGGGAGGGAGGAAAGGGAGUCAGGAAGGGAAGGGAGAUGGGAAAGGAAGGGAAGUGAGAAAGGAAAGGAAGGGAAGGGAGAAAGGAAGGGAAGGGAGAAAGGAAGGGAAGGGAGUAGAGAAGGGAAGAGGAAAGGAAAAAAAUCAUGAGACAGUGCGAAUUCAGGUAUUGCCAUUUGUGUUUUGAUGCCUGGAAGAGGGCUAUCUGCUGCCAUCUAUUGAUAGGUGGAGAAGAAGACCUAAUGAGCCAACUCAAUCGUGUGAUCAAGUGUUAAUUUAUGGAUAAAUGCAUAGGGCAGAGGGAUAACUGCCUCGGCUGUGUAGCUUUGACACCAGGCUAUGUGUGAGCUGGUAAAGAGCAGCAGGCAGGCAGGGAUGGGGACUGUGUGUUCUGUCUACCGUCAAGCCUUCUCCACAGGGAUGUGAAUGAAAUUCUAAGGCUGGCAUGUGGUCAGGCAGAUCAUCUUGCAAACAAAUGGGUAUUAAUUAAGAACCCAUAAUGUCAUGAUGAGAUCUGCUCUGUUCUGGGGCCUCUGCACACUGCCAGGGAGAUGCCUUUGGCUGAGAUCCUCAGCUGUGAAUGGCACAGCCUGCAACUGGGGCCAUUAGGAUACAAAUGGUAUCGCUGCUGCAGGUUUCAAGGUCACUUCUGGAGGAUGCAAGAAAGGCAGGCUUGGCUGAUUUCUUGUAGGUUUACAGAGAAAGGCUCCUUGAGGAGAGGCUCAGACUACAGUCCUUGCCAGCCUCGUGCAACAAGUUGUCUUUGCUAGAGCUGUCAAUUCCAGCUCUGCCAGCUUUCUCAGAAAUGCAUUUGCUGGUAGUUUCAUAGAAUCACAUUAGAAUCAUGUGGGCUGGAAAAGACAUUCAAGAACAUUGAGUCAAACCACCAACCUGAGCUAGCAAAUCCCACUACUAAACCAUGUCAUCCCUUAGUGCCACAGCCACACAUUUCUUAAAUCCCUCUGGGGAUGGGGACUCCACUGCUUCUCUGGGCAGCCCAUUCUGAUGCUUGACCGCCUUCCUUCUUGAUAUCUAAUCGAUGGGGAAGGAACUUGCAGCACUGGCACUAAGAAGGCAUCCAGUGAUGCAGUGUUUGCCUUGCUGUCUGUGAGCCUGACUGUAUGGUAUCUGCUUUGUGCCACAG
ensembl:lncRNA